rnacentral:rRNA from 1 species
UACGUAGGGGGCGAGCGUUGUCCGGAGUUACUGGGCGUAAAGCGCUUGUAGGCGGUCCACCAAGUUUGGGGUGACAGUUGCCGACUUAAUCGGCAAAGUGCCUCAAAGACUGGCGGACUUGAGGGCCACAGAGGGACAUGGAACUCCGGGUGUAGUGGUGAAAUGCGUAGAGAUCGGGAAGAACACCAGUGGCGAAGGCGGCCGGCUGGGGGCGCCCUGACGCUGAGGCGCGAGAGCGUGGGGAGCAAACCGG